GACGAACGCUGGCGGCGUGCUUAACACAUGCAAGUCGAACGGAAAGGCCCUGCUUUUGUGGGGUGCUCGAGUGGCGAACGGGUGAGUAACACGUGAGUAACCUGCCCUUGACUUUGGGAUAACUUCAGGAAACUGGGGCUAAUACCGGAUAGGAGCUCCUGCUGCAUGGUGGGGGUUGGAAAGUUUCGGCGGCUGGGGAUGGACUCGCGGCUUAUCAGCUUGUUGGUGGGGUAGUGGCUUACCAAGGCUUUGACGGGUAGCCGGCCUGAGAGGGUGACCGGCCACAUUGGGACUGAGAUACGGCCCAGACUCCUACGGGAGGCAGCAGUGGGGAAUAUUGCACAGUGGGCGGGAGCCUGAUGCAGCAACGCCGCGUGCGGGAUGACGGCCUUCGGGUUGUAAACCGCUUUCGCCUGUGACGAAGCGUGAGUGACGGUAAUGGGUAAAGAAGCACCGGCUAACUACGUG
rnacentral:rRNA from 1 species